rnacentral:tRNA from 1 species
AGUGGUUAAGUGUUUGGCUGCAAACCAAGAGGUCGGCAGUUCGAAUCUACCAGCCACUU